AGUACCGGGGAAGGGAGAGGGAUGGGGGAAGGGAGAGGGUGUUAGAAAGAGUCCUAGCCUCGGGAUAGGGCUCUAAGAUAGCUUCAGAGGUUCACUGGCCUUCAAGGAGACGCCUCCCCUCUCCACUGUUCCUCAGACAUGCUCCAGGAGGUUUGAGAAAUGACUCUGUUCCCGAACAGGAGAAGCGCUAAUGCCCAAAUGGGGAGGGGGAGUAAAGCAGUGAAAAAAAAAAAAAAAGUAUCUGUAACAGGUAGAAGUAGGCAAGAAAGCGAACAAGGAAAGUGUUGGUGAAAGAGGCAAGAGGAUGGGAGAAGGAAAGGCGGCCAGGAAGAGGCCAAGGGCGCUCAGAUCCAACAGAGAGUCCCCCUGGGUGCCCUCGCCCUGCUGCCUUCUGUGGACAUCAAGAAUGGAGGCAACCGGAAGAUGGGAUGGAGAGGAAAGAAGAGCAAAGGCUGUAGCUCUGUCCUACUCCAUCAGAGAUUCUGGGACUGGGAGAAUGACCACCUUCACAUUUCUCCAAUCCUCUGAGGACCCCAGGACCCACGGUAUUGAGAAAAGCUUUGAUGGAGCCGGCUGGUAGAUCUCCACUCCAGAUUUUCCAGCUGUCCCUGUCCCCCCACCGCUCAGAGAGCAGGAUGCUGAGAUGGCUCGGUGAUGCAGAAGAAAAAUCAUCGGCACGGAGGGACGGAGACGCCUGGCUGUAGGUUUUGGGACCACUAUGGUUCCGUCCCUUUACCUCCGAGAAAACAAAAAGGCAGAUCGUCCCAUAUGCUGAUGAGGAAAGGUCCAGUUGUGCUCCAAGGUGACAACCACCUUGACCAAGGGUUUAGCACCCAGGUGACAGCAAGGACUACUCCAGUUUCCAAGUGAAACUAGCCAGGGGCACUGUUUCCUUGUUACCUUUCAAAUCCUCUUCUUAUCAUGUCCCACUGUUAACUAACGAAGAGCUUUACAUGAUUUAUCUUUCUACCCUAAGAAGACUAAUAGUCAUUCCUGCAGCAUUGACUCAAGGACUAGUUUGCUGUGGAAAGAGAUUCCAGUGAGCAAAUCUGGUGCUUGCUUCUGAGUGAAUGAUGAAAAAGCUCCAUCAGAACAGAAUCCUGUGGCAUGGCUCUCCAGAUUGUUCUUCCAAGCUGAAUUCUAUUCACACAUCAAAACUCUAGAGAUGUACCUUUUAAAGCAGCUACAAAUCCAGUAAUCAAUAUCAUCAACUUAUUUCUUCUAGGUGCCCUUCUGCAGUUCAGCACGAGGACGGUUCCUUCAGGCAGGCUUCCCAUAGAUAUUGAAAGGUUAACUUACUAUCAGAAGACCUCGGAUUAUCUACGAACAUUAGCUGUUUUAGGACCCAUUUGCAGUCAUGAUCUCACUCUACUUGCAGAUC